rnacentral:lncRNA from 1 species
AUUUGGUACGCUGUGGAAGGAUCCCCCACGCUGGUGGAGACCUCUGUGAGCAGAUCCCUUCUGUCACUGUGAAAGAGCUCCUGUACCCCCCCCCCCCCGCCCCGGGGUCUUAUUUGCAGUCCUGGCCCCUCCUCAUUGCGCAUGUUCCUUCUCCCUCUCUCAGGCACCCAUUUUCAUCUCGUUCUUCUUCGCCCUGCGCAACAUGGCAGAGCUCCCUGUGCCCAGCUUGCAAACCGGGGGGCUUUGGUGGUUCCUGGAUCUCACGGCCGCCGACCCAUACUACGUCCUACCCCUGACAGUGACGGCCACCAUGUGGGCAGUCAUGGAGUUGGGGGCAGAAUCGGGAAUGCCAAACCAGAACUUCCGGAUGAUGAAAAAUGUUUCCCGAGUGAUGCCGCUCAUUAUUCUGCCCAUCACAAUCUCCUUCCCGACGGCCAUCAUCAUCUACUGGCUGACGUCCAACCUCUUCUCGCUGGUGCAGGCCUCAGUGCUCCGCCUGCCUGCGAUCCGCACCCGCCUCCGCGUUCCCGUGUAGAUCCAACGAGCCCCUGGUCUCCUGCUCGCGGAGGACGGCUUCAUGAAGUGCCUCAGAAAGGGCCCACUGCGACAGACCUUUGCCCGGAAUCCUUUGCAGCAACAUGAGCCCCCCACUCCAAAGCCACCGCCACGAAAGAGGCCGUGGGAGGACACGUUGGGCUGAGCGGCGACCCCAAGACCCGGCACGGAGGCAGUGGAGUGUCCCCCACCGCGGCUCUGGUUUUCUGACUUUUGACAAUAAAGGACCUGGAAGUCCUUUCUCCUCCUCUGGCUCAGUCGGAGCGGGUCCACAUGGAUGGAAGGAUGGAUGUGUGAGGCAGCCUCUUCCCAGGUUUUUUCUGCCUCUCUGUCAGAAGAACUACUUCCUUCCUUCCAAAAAUUAUCCUUCAGAAAUCUCCAUGUUCAUGUGUCAUUUCUCUGUGAAUACCGAAUCGCUUU